UGGUUCCGGCAUCGAUGAAGAACGCAGCGAAUUGCGAAACGUAGUGUGAAUUGCAGAAUUCAGCGAACCAUCGAAUCUUUGAACGCACAUUGCGCCCGCCGGUAUCCCGGCGGGCAUGCCUGUCCGAGCGUCGUCAAACCGCCCAGGCUACGUCUGGUGUUAGGGCUCCGUGGGCUUUCCCGCGGACUCUGGAAACGAGCGGCGGCUCGCAUGCAGCCCGAGCGAGGUACUAUAUCGAGCGUUAAGCUCCCUUCUCUUCAGGCCCUCAGGCCCAGAAUUGGGGAUCGCUCAGGGUUUGCAGGCGAGUGUUCUGCCGGUUAAACUAGACAGUGUUCUACAGAACCAGCUCGACCUCGGAUCAGGUAGGAAUACCCGCUGA
rnacentral:misc_RNA from 1 species